rnacentral:piRNA from 1 species
UCAGAUGCAAUGCGUGCCAGAAGCGAUU